rnacentral:rRNA from 1 species
GAGCGAACAGGGAAGAGCCCAGCACCGAAUCCCGCGGCCGACGGUCGCAGGGAAAUGUGGUGUUAGGGAGGUCGCUCGAAUCUUCCGCGCGCCGCGCGCGCUUCAAGUCCUCUUGAAAGGGGCCACGGCCCGCAGAGGGUGCCAGGCCCGUAGAGACGGGCGCGGCGCGCGGAAAGGGCCCUCCUAAGAGUCGGGUUGCUUGAGAUCGCAGCCCUAAGCAGGUGGUAAACUCCAUCUAASGCUAAAUACKACCACSAGACCGAUAGCGAACAAGUACCGUGAGGGAAAGUUGAAAAGAACUUUGAAGAGRGAGUUCAAGAGUACGUGAAASCGUUCAGGGGUARACGGAAGGUGCKCGAGCARACUARGCCGGGGAAACUCASGGCCGCCGCGUUUUCCGCCGGGRCGSGCGCCGUCGCCGAACCUGCCGCGGKCCGCUCCUCUCGGGGGGCGGUCCGGUCUAACGGCCGGGGAGGCGACUAGGCGGCGCGCGUUCAAUGGGCGGGAAGACCGAGCCCGCUCAGAUGAGGCGCGGCGGCCUGCACUUUUCCUUCGCCAUAGUGCGUCGCGAUCCGUUGGACGGCGCCCCAAGGCCCGGUGCGGCUUUCCUCGCGGGCGCCCUCCCUCGUCGGGGGGGGCGCGCCGAUCGGGGUGCGCCCGGUGUGCUCGCGGCGGAGCGGCUUUCGUCGGCGCUCUCGUCGCGGCGUCCCGGCCGCCGUGUAAGCCCGGUCCCGUAGCGGGGCCGGCGUUUGCGACGGUCAUGAAAUACGUGGAAGGAUACCGGCGCGUCGGAGGCCUUCGGGCCGAGGCGCGGCGGGUCGUCCCGGACGAGGUUGCAACGGGCGGCCGCGGCGGCCGCGCUCCGGGCUCACCGCCCUUUCCCGAGGGCGACCGGAGUAGCGCGGACGUCGAGCGAACCGCUCGGUGACAGGGGCGGGGGAAUUGAGCGAAAGCUCUUCCGUGAUCAAUCGGCGGCGUGAGUCUCGGGUUACCUUCCGACCCGUCUUGAAACACGGACCAAGGAGUCUAACAUGUGCGCGAGUCAAUGGGUCUCCCGAAACCCACAGGCGCAGUGAAAGCGAAGGCGCGUCCGCGGGCUCGCCCGCGGUCGCGCUCGGGGAGGAAGGACGGGGGGGACCGCCGCUGCGGCGCGGUCCCGAGCAGAGCCCCGUCCCGCACUCCCGGGGCGUCGUUCGCGGCGCACCCAGAGCGCACACGUUGGUACCCGAAAGAUGGUGAACUAUGCCUGGCCAGGACGAAGCCAGGGGAAACCCUGGUGGAGGUCCGUAGCGAUUCUGACGUGCAAAUCGAUCGUCUGAGCUGGGUAUAGGGGCGAAAGACUAAUCGAACCAUCUAGUAGCUGGUUCCCUCCGAAGUUUCCCUCAGGAUAGCUGGCGCCCGGGAACGAACGAACGGACAGAAUCUCGUCCGGUAAAGCGAAUGAUUAGAGGCCUUAGGGUCGAAACGGCCUUAACCUAUUCUCAAACUUUAAAUGGGCGAGCACCCCGGCAUGCUCGAAACGUUUGUAACGGCCGCGGCGGCAGCCCGCCGCUCGCGGCGGCGGCGCGGUUCUCCGCGUCGUCGUCGCGGCGUAGGCGGGUUCUCCCCCCAGCGAGCCGAUGAUGCCGGAGAAGGAUCACGGGCGCCUAGUGGGCCACUUUUGGUAAGCAGAACUGGCGCUGUGGGAUGAACCAAACGCCGAGUUAAGGCGCCUAAAUCGACGCUCAUGGGAGACCAUGAAGGGCGUUGUUUGCUUAAGACAGCAGGGCCGUGGCCAUGGAAGUCGGAAUCAGCUAAGGAGUGUGUAACAACUCACCUGCCGAAGCAACUAGCCCUGAAAAUGGAUGGCGCUGAAGCGUCGUGCCUAUACUCGGCCGCCGGCGGCAAGGCGAAGGGCGCCCCGCACGUCCCGCGUCGGGGGAAGGCCUGGUACCUUCGGGAGCCCUGUUAAGCCCCGGUGAGUAGGAGGGUCGCGGCGGUGAGCGCAGAAGGGUUGGGCGCGAGCCUGCCUGGAGCCGCCGUCGGUGCAGAUCUUGGUAGUAGUAGCAAAUACUCCAGCGAGGCCCUGGAGGGCUGAUGCGGAGAAGGGUUUCGUGUGAACAGCCGUUGCACACGAGUCAGUCGAUCCUAAGCCCUAGGAGAAAUCCGAUGUCGAUCGGGCCGCUCACACAGGCGGUGUCGGCCCGGUCGGGCGAAAGGGAAUCCGGUUCCUAUUCCGGAACCCGGUCGCGGAACCGUCUCACGUCGGGCCCCCUUCGCUUCGGCGAGGUGCUCGUUGGGGUAACCCAAACAGACCCGGAGAAGCCGUCGGGAAGUCGGGGAAGAGUUUUCUUUUCUGUUUGAGCGUUCGGGUUCCCUGGAAUUGCCUUGCGCAGAGAGAGGGAAUGGAGCGCGUAG